UACAGAGGGUGCAAGCGUUAAUCGGAAUUACUGGGCGUAAAGCGUGCGUAGACGGUCAUGUAAGUCGGGUGUGAAAGCCCCGGGCUCAACCUGGGAAUUGCAUUCGAGACUGCAUGGCUAGGAUGCGGAAGAGGGAAGCGGAAUUUCCGGUGUAGCGGUGAAAUGCGUAGAUAUCGGAAGGAACAUCAGUGGCGAAAGCGGCUUCCUGGACCAGCACCGACGUUCAGGCACGAAAGCGUGGGGAGCAAACAGG
rnacentral:rRNA from 1 species